AAGUCGAACGCGAAAGGGAUUUCGGUCCUGAGUAGAGUGGCGCACGGGUGAGUAACGCGUAAGUUAUCUACCCCUCCAUCUGGAAUAACUCACCGAAAGGUGUGCUAAUACCGGAUACGUUGGAAACAAGAAAGGUGGCCUCUUCUAUGCUACCGUGGAGGGAUGAGCUUGCGUACCAUUAGCUAGUUGGUAGGGUAAUGGCCUACCAAGGCAACGAUGGUUAGCGGGUCUGAGAGGAUGAUCCGCCACACUGGAACUGGAACACGGACCAGACUCCUACGGGAGGCAGCAGUGAGGAAUAUUGCGCAAUGGGGGAAACCCUGACGCAGCGACGCCGCGUGGAUGAUGAAGGCCUUUGGGUCGUAAAAUCCUGUCAGAUGGAAAGAAAUGUACAUGUGCUAAUAUCACUUGUAUUUGACGGUACCAUCAAAGGAAGCACCGGCUAACUCCGUGCCAGCAGCCGCGGUAAUACGGAGGGUGCAAGCGUUGUUCGGAAUUACUGGGCGUAAAGCGCGCGUAGGUGGUUGUAUAAGUCAGAUGUGAAAGUCCACGGCUCAACCGUGGAAGUGCAUUUGAAACUGUAUGACUUGAGUAUUGGAGGGGGUAGUGGAAUUCCCGGUGUAGAGGUGAAAUUCGUAGAUAUCGGGAGGAAUACCGGUGGCGAAGGCGACUACCUGGCCAAAUACUGACACUGAGGUGCGAAAGCGUGGGGAGCAAACAGGAUUAGAUACCCUGGUAGUCCACGCCGUAAACGAUGUCAACUA
rnacentral:rRNA from 1 species